rnacentral:rRNA from 1 species
GAUGAACGCUGGCGGCGUGCCUAAUACAUGCAAGUCGAGCGAACAGACGAGAGUGCUUGCACUCUCUGACGUUAGCGGCGGACGGGUGAGUAACACGUGGGUAACCUACCUAUAAGACUGGGAUAACUUCGGGAAACCGGAGCUAAUACCGGAUAAUAUUUAGCUUCGCAUGAAGCAAUAGUGAAAGACGGUUCUGCUGUCACUUAUAGAUGGACCCGCGGUGUAUUAGCUAGUUGGUGAGGUAACGGCUCACCAAGGCAACGAUACAUAGCCGACCUGAGAGGGUGAUCGGCCACACGGGGACGGAGACACGGCCCAGACUCCUGCGGGAGGCAGCAGUAGGGAAUCUUCCGCAAUGGACGAAAGUCUGACGGAGCAAUGCCGCGUGAGUGAAGAAGGUUUUCGGAUCGUAAAACUCUGUUGUAAGGGAAGAACAAGUACGUUAGUAACUGAACGUACCUUGACGGUACCUUACCAGAAAGCCACGGCUAACUACGUG